GAUCCUGGCUCAGGACGAACGCUGGCGGCGCGCCUAACACAUGCAAGUCGAACGAGAGAUGAGGAGCUUGCUCUUCAAAUCGAGUGGCGAACGGGUGAGUAACGCGUGAGGAACCUGCCUCAAAGAGGGGGACAACAGUUGGAAACGACUGCUAAUACCGCAUAAGCCCACAGCUCGGCAUCGAGCAGAGGGAAAAGGAGCAAUCCGCUUUGAGAUGGCCUCGCGUCCGAUUAGCUAGUUGGUGAGGUAACGGCCCACCAAGGCGACGAUCGGUAGCCGGACUGAGAGGUUGAACGGCCACAUUGGGACUGAGACACGGCCCAGACUCCUACGGGAGGCAGCAGUGGGGAAUAUUGCACAAUGGGGGAAACCCUGAUGCAGCGACGCCGCGUGGAGGAAGAAGGUCUUCGGAUUGUAAACUCCUGUUGUUGAGGAAGAUAAUGACGGUACUCAACAAGGAAGUGACGGCUAACUACGUGCCAGCAGCCGCGGUAAAACGUAGGUCACAAGCGUUGUCCGGAAUUACUGGGUGUAAAGGGAGCGCAGGCGGGAGAACAAGUUGGAAGUGAAAUCCAUGGGCUCAACCCAUGAACUGCUUUCAAAACUGUUUUUCUUGAGUAGUGCAGAGGUAGGCGGAAUUCCCGGUGUAGCGGUGGAAUGCGUAGAUAUCGGGAGGAACACCAGUGGCGAAGGCGGCCUACUGGGCACCAACUGACGCUGAGGCUCGAAAGUGUGGGUAGCAAACAGGAUUAGAUACCCUGGUAGUCCACACCGUAAACGAUGAUUACUAGGUGUUGGAGGAUUGACCCCUUCAGUGCCGCAGUUAACACAAUAAGUAAUCCACCUGGGGAGUACGACCGCAAGGUUGAAACUCAAAGGAAUUGACGG
rnacentral:rRNA from 1 species